GGCAGUCAAUUGGCACCAUGUCACACUGGUGCCUGGGAUCCCAGUAUGUGACCAGAACGCAGGAGAAGAAAAGCUGCGGAGCCCUAUGCCCUUUCUGCCCUCUUGCCAUGAGAGAGACUCUGAGGCUUGACUUCUACCAUAAUCACCCGUAUUAAACACAAGCCCCAAAAGCAAAAGAAGGGGUUGCGUUUGCUACCUGGAUUCAGACAGCCCUUCUCAGGGUUAACAUAUGUCAUGUGGUCACUGUUCGGAAGGAGGGCUUCCUCCCUGACUUCUAACAGGCUUGUAGGCUGCAGCUUCAUUAGCCAAUUGGGAGGGCAUCGGGAGUAUUAAGCAGCUUUUUCUUUUUUUUUUUAAUAUUUGCUUUGCAAAUGUGCUGAUCUGCGCUAACUUCUUGUCUUUGCAAAAGGGACUGCUCCCACGACGUGCCCCAGCAGGGGCCUCUAAGACAUUCCCCUGUCAGUGCAGGGCUGCCCUGGGCCUCAGGAAGCAGGGCGCAUCUCCGCCAAGAUGCCUGGUCUCCGUGUCUUCCAGGCCAGGUGGACAGUGCAGGGCCGAAGCAGGUGCUGGAAGAACGUGGAACUUUGUUUGAUCAGAAGGGCCUGUACUGACAGACAGAAGGAGCUCAGAGUGAACUGGAAGUCCAAGGUUGCCUGGAUUACUGGUUCAUCAGAUAUAAUUUUAUCUGAGCACACCUCUGAAAGUCCUUUUAUUGACUCAUCUUACCCCUCUCAGUUGAAAGAUUUCUUUUGUGAAGGGGCAAGACCAUGAACUGAAAAAAGUGUUGGCCUGUUUGUGGGACCAGAUUUCUAAGAUAAAGAAAUAAUAAAUACUUUUACUUCUGUCAA